rnacentral:tRNA from 1 species
AACAUUAUAGCAAAAUUGGAAUUGCAUUAAUUUGCAAAAUUAUUAGUAUAGGUUCAAUUCCUGUUAAUGUUU